CGUCGUGAAGAGGGAAACAACCCAGACCGCCAGCUAAGGUCCCAAAGUCAUGGUUAAGUGGGAAACGAUGUGGGAAGGCCCAGACAGCCAGGAUGUUGGCUUAGAAGCAGCCAUCAUUUAAAGAAAGCGUAAUAGCUCACUGGUCGAGUCGGCCUGCGCGGAAGAUGUAACGGGGCUAAACCAUGCACCGAAGCUGCGGCAGCGACGCUUAUGCGUUGUUGGGUAGGGGAGCGUUCUGUAAGCCUGUGAAGGUGUACUGUGAGGUAUGCUGGAGGUAUCAGAAGUGCGAAUGCUGACAUAAGUAACGAUAAAGCGGGUGAAAAGCCCGCUCGCCGGAAGACCAAGGGUUCCUGUCCAACGUUAAUCGGGGCAGGGUGAGUCGACCCCUAAGGCGAGGCCGAAAGGCGUAGUCGAUGGGAAACAGGUUAAUAUUCCUGUACUUGGUGUUACUGCGAAGGGGGGACGGAGAAGGCUAUGUUGGCCGGGCGACGGUUGUCCCGGUUUAAGCGUGUAGGCUGGUUUUCCAGGCAAAUCCGGAAAAUCAAGGCCGAGGCGUGAUGACGAGGCACUACGGUGCUGAAGCAACAAAUGCCCUGCUUCCAGGAAAAGCCUCUAAGCAUCAGGUAACAUCAAAUCGUACCCCAAACCGACACAGGUGGUCAGGUAGAGAAUACCAAGGCGCUUGAGAGAACUCGGGUGAAGGAACUAGGCAAAAUGGUGCCGUAACUUCGGGAGAAGGCACGCUGAUACGUAGGUGAAGCGACUUGCUCGUGGAGCUGAAAUCAGUCGAAGAUACCAGCUGGCUGCAACUGUUUAUUAAAAACACAGCACUGUGCAAACACGAAAGUGGACGUAUACGGUGUGACGCCUGCCCGGUGCCGGAAGGUUAAUUGAUGGGGUUAGCGCAAGCGAAGCUCUUGAUCGAAGCCCCGGUAAACGGCGGCCGUAACUAUAACGGUCCUAAGGUAGCGAAAUUCCUUGUCGGGUAAGUUCCGACCUGCACGAAUGGCGUAAUGAUGGCCAGGCUGUCUCCACCCGAGACUCAGUGAAAUUGAACUCGCUGUGAAGAUGCAGUGUACCCGCGGCAAGACGGAAAGACCCCGUGAACCUUUACUAUAGCUUGACACUGAACAUUGAGCCUUGAUGUGUAGGAUAGGUGGGAGGCUUUGAAGUGUGGACGCCAGUCUGCAUGGAGCCGACCUUGAAAUACCACCCUUUAAUGUUUGAUGUUCUAACGUGGACCCGUGAUCCGGGUUGCGGACAGUGUCUGGUGGGUAGUUUGACUGGGGCGGUCUCCUCCUAAAGAGUAACGGAGGAGCACGAAGGUUGGCUAAUCCUGGUCGGACAUCAGGAGGUUAGUGCAAUGGCAUAAGCCAGCUUGACUGCGAGCGUGACGGCGCGAGCAGGUGCGAAAGCAGGUCAUAGUGAUCCGGUGGUUCUGAAUGGAAGGGCCAUCGCUCAACGGAUAAAAGGUACUCCGGGGAUAACAGGCUGAUACCGCCCAAGAGUUCAUAUCGACGGCGGUGUUUGGCACCUCGAUGUCGGCUCAUCACAUCCUGGGGCUGAAGUAGGUCCCAAGGGUAUGGCUGUUCGCCAUUUAAAGUGGUACGCGAGCUGGGUUUAGAACGUCGUGAGACAGUUCGGUCCCUAUCUGCCGUGGGCGCUGGAGAACUGAGGGGGGCUGCUCCUAGUACGAGAGGACCGGAGUGGACGCAUCACUGGUGUUCGGGUUGUCAUGCCAAUGGCACUGCCCGGUAGCUAAAUGCGGAAGAGAUAAGUGCUGAAAGCAUCUAAGCACGAAACUUGCCCCGAGAUGAGUUCUCCCUGACCCUUUAAGGGUCCUGAAGGAACGUUGAAGACGACGACGUUGAUAGGCCGGGUGUGUAAGCGCAGCGAUGCGUUGAGCUAACCGGUACUAAUGAACCGUGAGGCUUAACCUU
rnacentral:rRNA from 1 species